rnacentral:lncRNA from 13 species
UACUGACUGAACAACAAAGGGCCUUUCUCUGAGCUCUGUGGCUACUUUGGCUUUACUUAGGCAUUACAGCUAAUUUGGCCCUUUUUCCCAUCGCUGAGAAAUCUGCCCCACACUUACAAGGCUAUUGAUAGAUUUUAUUGAUCCCAAGCCUACUUCCUGUCUCCACCAGCUACUGUUUCUAAUGGUCAGGCUGUGGCUGAUGCAAGUGCACUCUCCCCCAGGUUGAAAUUAAUUGACCUGAUUUAAAAUUCUAACAGGUGGCUUUAAGCUGUUGCCUGAAAGAGGUGGGGGAGUGUCGGAGUGCCUGACCUGCCAGCCAGGUCUGGGGAGUAGGAACUCCCUCUGCCUGGCAUAGGUGGAGUUUGGCUACUCUCAGCCGGGAUACCUCGACACACUGUCUUGUUUAUGGCUCUCUUUUGGAAACCUGCCUGCUGACGGUAAUUUCUGGACAUGCUCUCAGACUAGAGUAGAAAGAAGAUAUUAGUUAUCAUAAUGUGCAUGAACUUGGACUUCAAUGCAAAAUUUAUAAAGAAGAUCAAAUGGAUCAUUUCUACUAAAUAAGGUAGGUCUUGGUGAAUAAUAGCAUACAAAAAUAUGCUCAAUAAAUGUAACCUUUAUACUCAUAAAAGUGCUCUUUUUUCUUUUUUUUUUUUUUUUUUAAAGGGGAGUGUUUGAAGUCUUUUGCUGUAAUGCUGAUUGUAAGUAUUUGAAAUGUAGUUACUGAAAUUUAAUCUCUCAUUUAGGGGUAGUGACAAAUCACAUACUGUUGGUUCCACUUCCUGACUGUAU